rnacentral:rRNA from 1 species
AUUGAACGCUGGCGGCAGGCUUAACACAUGCAAGUCGAGCGGAGUGAUGGUGCUUGCACUAUCACUUAGCGGCGGACGGGUGAGUAAUGCUUAGGAAUCUGCCUAUUAGUGGGGGACAACAUCUCGAAAGGGAUGCUAAUACCGCAUACGUCCUACGGGAGAAAGCAGGGGAUCACUUGUGACCUUGCGCUAAUAGAUGAGCCUAGGUCGGAUUAGCUAGUUGGUGGGGUAAAGGCCUACCAAGGCGACGAUCUGUAGCGGGUCUGAGAGGAUGGUCCGCCACACUGGGACUGAGACACGGCCCAGACUCCUACGGGAGGCAGCAGUGGGGAAUAUUGGACAAUGGGGGGAACCCUGAUCCAGCCAUGCCGCGUGUGUGAAGAAGGCCUUAUGGUUGUAAAGCACUUUAAGCGAGGAGGAGGCUCUUUUGGUUAAUACCCAAGAUGAGUGGACGUUACUCGCAGAAUAAGCACCGGCUAACUCUGUGCCAGCCGCCGCAGUAA